GAUAGUUUACUAUUUUGGUGGCGACCGGCGCACGGGUGAGUAACGCGUAUGUAACCUACCUUAUACAGGAGUAUAGCCCGAAGAAAUUCGGAUUAAUCCUCCAUAGUAUUUUCUAAUGGCAUCAUUUGGAAAAUUAAAGCUUCGGCGGUAUAAGAUGGGCAUACGUCCUAUUAGCUAGAUGGUAAGGUAAUGGCUUACCAUGGCUACGAUAGGUAGGGGGCCUGAGAGGGUGAUCCCCCACACUGGUACUGAGACACGGACCAGACUCCUACGGGAGGCAGCAGUGAGGAAUAUUGGUCAAUGGGCGCAAGCCUGAACCAGCCAUGCCGCGUGCAGGAAGAAUGCCCUAUGGGUUGUAAACUGCUUUUAUUUAGGAAUAAACCCCUCUACGUGUAGAGGGCUGAAUGUACUAAACGAAUAAGCACCGGCUAACUCCGUGCCAGCAGCCGCGGUAAUACGGAGGGUGCAAGCGUUAUCCGGAAUCAUUGGGUUUAAAGGGUCCGCAGGCGGACGUAUAAGUCAGUGGUG
rnacentral:rRNA from 1 species